UACAGAGGGUGCGAGCGUUAAUCGGAAUUACUGGGCGUAAAGCGCGCGUAGGCGGCUUUGCAAGCCGGAUGUGAAAUCCCUCGGCUUAACCGGGGAACUGCGUCUGAUACUGGAUGGCUUGAGUUCGGGAGAGGGAUGCGGAAUUCCAGGUGUAGCGGUGAAAUGCGUAGAUAUCUGGAGGAACACCGGUGGCGAAGGCGGCAUCCUGGACCGAUACUGACGCUGAGGAGCGAAAGCCAGGGGAGCAAACGGG
rnacentral:rRNA from 1 species